AUUGAACGCUGGCGGCAGGCCUAACACAUGCAAGUCGAGCGAGCGGCGGACGGGUGAGUAAUGUAUGGGGACUGCCCGAUAGAGGGGGAUAACUACAGGAAACGGCAGCUAAUACCGCAUACUAUCGGAUACUUCACAUGGGAUUAGCUAGUGGGUGAGGUAAUGGCUCACCUAGGCGACGAUCCCUAGCUGGUCUGAGAGGAUGAUCAGCCACACUGGGACUGAGACACGGCCCAGACGCCUACGGAGGCAGCAUUAGGGAAUAUUGCAGAAUGGGCGCAAGCCUGAUGCAGCCAUGCCGCGUGUAUGAAGAAGGCCUUAGGGGUGUAAAGUACUUUCUGUCGGGAGGCGUUACCGACAGAAGAAGCACCGGCUAACUCCGUGCCAGCAGCCGCGGUAAUAC
rnacentral:rRNA from 1 species